AUUGUGGUCCUUUUCAACCCAGGCCAUUCUAUGAUUCUAUCAUUCUAUGAUCCUCUGAUUCUAUACAUGUUUUUUUUAAAAAAACACAUCAAUAGUUUUCCAUUAAAUCCUUUACCUUCGUCUGGAAUCAUUACAGUUUUGCUGCUUCCUUUUUUUUUUUUUUUUUUUUUUUUUUUUUUUUCCUGUUGCAGCUACCUGGAGGUAAUUGUGUUCCUAAAAAUGUUUAUUUACUGAUGACUUUAUACCAUGUGGUAUUCAGGAUUCAGACUUUUAGUUUCUUCGUUUGCUUUUCAGUUGCUGUAAGAUUAAUCAUCACUAGCCUAAUCUUUUGGCAAGUUUUAAGAACAAAUGGGAAUAUGUUUUACUGACUGCUAUUACUGUUCUGUAGAAUUGCAAGGUCCGUGGUGGGUCUGUAUUAGCCUUCCAGACCACCUUCAUAGAUGUGUCUAUCCAGUCAUGUUUCAUGACCUUUAUGUUGGUAUAUCCUUUGUCUGUAUCUGUUAUCGUCAGAUUUUUAUACCACAGUCAACUUAAAUGGCAAAAUGUAAACCAUUUUGUUUUGUUUUACUGUACUCUGUUGUUGAAGCACUCAGCUAGGGAAAAGAUCUUAGAAUUUGUCCCUACUCAGUUGGUAAAGAUUACUGCAUUACGCUAUGACUUUCAGACAUUUCAGACUUUCAGACAGUGAACUGCCAGAAAGAAGGAUUUCAAAACCAUAAGUCUGCUAUGCUGUUCUCAGAGACUAAUCCUCUGUGGGCACUGUGAGUCCUUCCCAGAGAGUAUGCAGAAAAUGAGGACACCCUUGGAAGACACAUAGGCUAACAUAGGCUGUGACAGAUGUACCCUGUGUAAAGAUAUACACAGAACAGAAAGUUGUAAGAAUACAACUUCUACAAUACUGCUCCAAGAAAACAGAUGGCUGCAGUCUUUAAGUGCUCUUCAGGUGAGGCUUUUUAUUGCAGGUUCUCAUCCUAGCUGAGAUCCUAAGGCAUAGGUGUCUGGGGAGACUGCAUGAGCAAAAGAAACCACGUUUUCUAAGGAGCUGUGAUUGAAGAGUCUCUUGAGUCAACAUCAGAACUUGAAAAUCGAAGUUUACUUAAAUUUUUUCCAAACAAGUUCAAGCUGUUUUAACCUUUAUAGCUACAUAUACUCUCAGCUGUAUCACCUGGUAAAAAGUACCUCUUGGUUCCAUGUGAUAAAUCUGCCAUAUUACUUCUAUCUUCUGUUAAGUGUGCUUCAGCAAGCUGCUGCUCUUCCUGAGCAAGGAAGCACCAUAGCAAAAAAAAAAAAAAAGAAAAGAAAAAAAAAGAAAAAAAAAGUUUUGUUUAGCUGUAAUUGGAAGAUGAUAAUUCUGAAAUCCUAGGCCCUUGAAGGACUGAAAAAUUAAUUCCCCACUCCACCCUCUUGGGGCAGGCAGAGGACAAUCAAAUCUCUGAAUGACUGCAAUGGAAUCCUCACAGAACCCAGGCUGGGUAGAUGUAAAGCAAGCUAUCAAAGAGAUCCUUUAUUCAUGAAGAAAUCAGGAGAUCCUGCUUGUGAGCAGAAGGAUCACAGCCAAAAAAAAACCCAAAAACCUGUGGUACAGUUGGAGCUGUGUUAUUAUAAAGCAUAAUGCAGAUAGAUCAGUCUGGAAGCUGAUCAAUGAUGGAAUGUCUGAAAAUCAUCCAGGCCAAACCACUUCUGUUAAUUCUGUGGGGUAGCAUAGGCCAAACCAUAGAAAUUUAAGUGAUGGAAAUCAGUUUUAGAAAGAGUUCUCCAUCAAGACAUAGGCAGAGGACCCAGGCUGGCAGUUGGGUACUUGUCAUGCUUACCGCCUGUGUUAGUUUCAGGGGCUGAUAAGUGUUCAGGCAAGAAACACAGUGGUUGCGCUAUUCUAAAACCCCCUUUCUUUAAGAGCUUUUUCCCCAUUCUAGUGUUAGUGGCUGGUUUUAAGAAGGUUGUCCCUGAUCAGAGAUGCCAUAGGGAAGAGCUAUAAGUGCUGAAUGCAGCCAGACCUGUUAGCUCUGAGCGGGAACUACAAAGGGUGCUGACAGCUGUCCUGGGAAAAGCUUGUGAGGGACAGAGGCCUGUCCAGCACCUGAGGGGCCACAGGUUGGACAGAGAAGCAAGUAGCCCUGUAGCUGUGACACAGAUGUCCUGUGGUGUUGCUGUGGUGACACUGAUGUGACUUUGGGGAUGUCUGAGGGCUGUGUUGACUGAUUCCCCUUUCCCCCUUUGCAAUAUAAAUUUACUAUGCUGCAUAUAACUGACUAAAUGAAUUGAUCGUGGUGUUGUGUAGCUGUGCCUUAUGCAAAAAUUCACUUACACCACUGUUACAUAUUUCAUAUUUUCUUUUAUUUUUUAUUAGAGGUAUUAUGAUUGAAGUAAGACAAAUCCACAGUUGAAAACAUUCCAAGUGUCCAUUAAUAUUUUGGUACUACUGUGAAGAGUACCAUGAACCCAAGCAUCAUGAGGGAUAUGUAAACGUUUGUUUUUUGAUGAUACAGUAAAUUUACCCAUUUUUGAUAUGUUCUCAUUCACCUCAGAAAAAAAAAAAGACACAUUUUUCCUCUGCCCAUCCUAUGGACACUCACUGACACAUAUUUUCCUUUUUGAAGGGACAGGUAAUGGCUACAGCAUUGCUUUGUUUUUUUUUCAUACCACUAUGGACUGAAUUGAUGUGUAGGCACAGAUAGUGCAUUACUUUAAUUACACCAUGACAUUGUAACUGCAGCACUGUCUGUUAGGAUUUGUGAAGCUAUUCUCUUCUGUCAGACCUCUUGCCAGCUAAGGAACCAUAGUGUUCCUAUUGCUCACGUCUUGUUUUCUUUGCCUGUGACAAAGAAGUGUUCAGUCUCCUGGAGACUGAAAUGCUUUGCUCUAACCCAAAUUGUUGAGUUCUAUAGGAAAAAAAAAAAACAAAACAAUCCCUGUCUAAUGUCAGUAGGAUCCAUAGCAGCUCAUGAUGUGAUCAUAAUGUAGGAGGCUGAAGGCCCUAAGAAACCUGUAGGCACAUUAGGAUAUAGGUCUGUCAAAAUGAGCUGGGUGUCUUCUUUUGUCUUCUUUCAUAAGAAAUCAGAUCCUCAGGUGAUCUUUUCUCACUAUAAACUAAGAAAUCUUUAAAGUCGUAAUCUGAACUUCCAGGAGCCUUGUCCUUUGCCAGUAAUGAAAACCUAGCAUUGGGCCGUAUCUUCUGCUGGGCAGUCUCUGUGAAACUGCUGCCACUCCCUGCAGGAGCUGAUCCAUUCAUGUCUUUCUCCCAUUUGUUUUAAUUCAUAUGAGGACAUACACAUGAACACAAAUACAGUUUUAAUAAAGGAGAAUUAAUAAUUACUGCUUCCACUAAAAGCAGAUUUUAAAGAAGGAAAAUGCUUCUAAGCACUUUUCAUCCCUCUUCACUUUGGCUGAAUCCCUCCUAAGAUAUGAAAGAUACCAAAUACCUGGAAUGUAAAAACAUGUAGUGCAGCUGCCACCCUAGUGAGACAUUUGCUUGCACUAGGUACUGCUGCUGUACUCUGCUUUUCUGGGGAGCAGACAGCCCACCUGUCCCCAUCAUCUCUGCCAGCAACAAAGUAGGUGGGAGCAGCAGAUGGGCAGGCAUCCUGUUCCCCAGUCUAGUGAGGCUGCUACACAUGGAAGCUGGGACAGACAAGAUAAAAAAUUGGAAAGAAGUAGUAGUUUUGGAGGAAAUUUUGGCCCAUGUCCUGCUACCUGCUCCCACAGGGGAGCAACUAAGACAAAGUCUCUGUUAGUGCUCUUCCCCAGACCCUCUGCAUUCAGUGUCUCACUUUGGAAUGUGGCUGCUUGUGUGAGCACUUAAGCAAUUCAUGUGUCCUGGGCACGUUUAAGGAGAAUCUCUAACUGUGAGAAAAAUUUCCCACAACCUGUGCUGACAGCAGGAAUGAAACGAUGAGAAGUAUUUUGAGUCCACAUACAGGAGGCAGUACAUGCAAAAUACAACAUUUAGCUUUCCCCCAGGGAAUGGGAACAAGGAGAAGAAGGCUGCAGAGUUAAUACUUUAAAGUGCAUGCAGAGACAGCUGGAAAACCACAGCUGCAGAAGUCUGACAUCCCUGCUGGGCAAGCUGAUGGGAUCAAUGAACUGUAAACAAAUAUGCGCUACUAAGAAGAGUCUGAAAGAAUCCUUCAGGAGAAGGUUAUGCCUUGCAAAAAUCUCUUACAGUUAAGUGCCUUAAGGCAUCACUGAAUAUGUGAACUAAUAAAUCCAAUUGAUAUGAACUUACUUGAAGUCUUUCAACAAGCUUCUGAUCUAAGAUUUCAAGAAUCUCAGUCAGGACUAAAAUGAAGAUGUAUUGAAAUGAACAGCCUGUUCAUUGACAGGAGACAAAGGACAGAAAUAAAUGAUCAAUGUCAAGAAGGAAGGAAGUUUCUUAGUAAUGUGUCAAGGGGAUCUGUGCUGGUAUCUGUACUGCUCAGUGUUUGCAGACUGUGCUGGGAAAGAAGGUGAUAGUAAAGUUUUUGAUGACACUAUGUUGUUCAGUGAGGUGAGAAUGGAACCUCACUGCAAAGAGCUGCAGAAGGAUUUCACAGCACCAAGUUUCUAGAGGAUGGUGUGGCAUAUGAAAAGCUAUUGCUUCACAGCAAACAGAGCUGAGAGUUAAUAUAAGUAGUUGUAUAACAAAUGUCACUUCAGCAGUGAGCAGAGGGCAAAGGAGGGAAUGUAAGGAAUUAUUAGGAAAAUAGUAGGGAAAAGAGAAUAAGUUUUAGAAGGAACAGAAAUCAUGCCACUGUUGAUACUUGAAGCAAUCUUGCAUCUUGAAUAAUAUGCAUCAUUCUGCUCCCUCUUCAAAAAGUAAUAUAUAGAUCUCAAAAAUACUUAAAGUGCAACAAGGAUGAUCAGAGGAGCAUCUUUCAUACCAGAAGCUAUUAAGUGGACUAGAGUCUAUAAAAAGCUCUUUAAAAUCAUGAGUGGCACACACAAACUGAAGAACAAUUUUUCGCUUUCUCAUAUUGUAAAAUUUAGGAGUUAUCAAAUAAUAUCACAUGGUAGAAUGAAAAUAGAUGGAACUUGCACAAUGAUAUCACAUUUGAUUGAGAAAGUCUUUGAGCUUUGAGUUACUCAAAUCUGGGAGUCUGAAAUGGAGAAGUAGCAUCUAUCAUUUAUUAUCCUAAUCCUUUCCUUGAUCAUCUGUGAGAGGUGAAGUACUGGGAUAGAUGUUUGAUUUGGCAAAGUACAAUCACGAUUAUAGUAUUCUGAUGAUGUAUAUUUCUUAAAUGUUAGAUAUAAAGAAUAUAUUUAAAACACUAUCUUACUUGUAUUAAGCUAUAUGAAAUACAUACAGUGGAGCAUUAUGUGUCAUUUGCAACAUGCCUGUUCUACCACUCUUGCUACAGAAAAUUCCUGAUCUUUGAGAUUUCCUCUUAAUUUGUCUUUCAUGAGAUAACUUUUCUUCCAGAUACAUUAACUGAUUAUAAAGUCAUAAGUGAUUACUUUGGAAAUUUGGAGAUGCUUUGGUGCUGAAAGGAAAUUUAGCAAGAAAGUGGGGGAAAAAAAAGUGGUUUCUUCAGUGACUAAUGUAGACUUGCAAAUGGGAAGAUUGGUUGAAUGUAAUGGCCUGUGUUUAUUUAUUCAUCUGAGAUUCUGCUUUUAUGUCUAAUUCAUAGUUUCCAAAUCUUUCCAAGAUGGGAGUUGGAACAGCAGUAUUUACUUCAGUAUGCAUUAUUAAAGAGUUGCAGCAAAUACACAGCCUCUGUAUCAAACUUGUUAACUAAAUAUCCAUUGGAGAAUGAAUAUUUUCUCUUUCUCCCAAUGCUGCUAAACGCAUAGGAAAGAUUAUAAUGCAAGAUCUAACAGUGUUGCAAAAAAAAGGUAGUGAGAUUGUGAACUACUGAAGUGUUUUUUAAGAAAUAGACAGGGAAAGGUUGUUGUAUGCUGCAUAAAGAUACUUGAGUUCUGUUGGGAAGUUUGAGUUUGAAAUCUGACUAUUUACUAGCCUUUUAUUAUAGUCUUGCCCUUUCCUUUCAAAGACACUGGAGAUGGACAAAACAUGGGAAGCACAGAUGGGAGAAAAUGAGAAUGGAAAGAUAUUUUGAAAGCCCUUUGUGAAGCAACAGAGAUAAUAUUGUAAAUUCAUUGGGUGUGCUGUGUGUGGCAGUUCUGUCCAAAUUCUUCUGUUUGUUAACAAAUUUAUACCAAAGAAAAACUGCUUGUUUCAUUCAUUCAGUCACCAGUUCAUUCAUUUACUUUAUAGAGCACCUCUCAGACACUGGACUGAAUAUAUUCCAUCAGUUGUUUUCCCCACAGUCCUAAAAUAUUAGCUAAAUAAGCCAUCAGGAAUGUGACCCCAAAGAGUGAUAUCUUGUUAUAAAUAUACAAGAAGAAACAUCUAAAAGCUUGACAGGAUAAAUCGGCUCCUCUCAGUCUCUCUGACACCCACACAUACACAUGCCCAUGUGUUACGCAACUUAUUAAACAUUCAAAACAUCAAAUUAGUUCAGUAUCUGUCCUUGGAUUUGGAAUUUGCAUACUGUUUAUCACCACAAGAGUACACAUAUUAUGGUUUCCUUUUUAUAAAUCAUGGAGAUAACACAUUUUCAUUGCGUGUCACUGUAUAUAAAAUAUAAUUCUGUUUUUGUCAGCAGACUGCUAAAUGACAGUGGAGCGUCUGCAGCGUGCAUAAAGCAGCAUCUUGUAAUAGACUGCAGGUCCCAUGUGAGAACUUACAAUGAAUGCAUUUUAAAGUUACAGCAGCAGUACAGCCUCAAAAACUGCCAGAAGUCAUUUGAUUGCGACGUAUACGUAUAUGUUGAUUUUUGACAUGCUUGUAUACAUGCCAAUGUAAAUGUUCUGUGAAGAUGACUGACACUGUUACGCGCUCCAUUUAGUGGCCCAGUCUUUUACUUAGUGAACUGGCAUUCAUUCACAGACAAAAUGUAAAUAGUUCUGCUUAUUCUGUAGAACACGUAGAAAGCCUGAUGUUCCUGGGAGGCAGCGUUGCAGUCUCAUUAGCGGUGUGUACCUGUGUAUUCAGAAACGUGCUGCUGAAUCUCGAGGGUUUCCUGUGCAGGAAUAGGAUACAGGACAACAGUAGAUUUUAGCUACAUGCAUGUAAUAUGAAGACAGACAGUUAAGAAAAAUGUCACAGCAAUGCAAAUGAAAUGAGCACAGUGCCAUUUUUUAAUUAUUAUUUGGUUGUUCCAAAAAGUCAGGAAGCUUUUUGCAUGAUCCUUUUCUUAAAAAUACUCACAUUCUAAAACCAAGGCAUGUGAGGAGCAUCUCUCUUUUUACUGGCAUAAAUUCUACUGGUUCACAUCAAGUGUAACUCCUAAACUUUAAAAGCCAGGGCAUUUCAAAGGUUAGUUGUUUUAAUAGUUAAACACGUGUACGUUGUUUCUGCUUUGUGUUGUUUAAUUUGAUCUUUCCACCAUUUGAUGCUGUUACUCACAUUUUGGGUAGAUUAAAGAGCUCUUUACUAUCAACAAUCUCCCAUAUAGGUAUUUGUGUGGUGUAAUCAAGUUCCCUCUUAAUCUUCACUUUGAUCAGAUAGGCACAUUCUUAGGACUGUCAUUGUAAGCCAGGAUUUACAGUCCUCUGAUUACUUAGUCAUUCCUGUAUCUUACCUUAUUUCUAGUGCUUUCCAUCAGGGCCCAAAAACCGUAUUCUGAAAAUACCUGUGCUGUCCAAAAAUGCCUCCAAACCUAGGACAAAUACCAUCCUCACAUUCUGGAGAGGCAGUCCUCUAUGUAUAUACUCAGGGAUGUUGUUAUCUAUUAGUACUGAGCAGAGGCCUCAUGUUUUGUUGGUUAUAAUGAUGCUCAUGUGCUUUCUCAUGUGAUAUCCCUUGUGUUACAGAUGAGCAUUAAUUUAUUGACUAUUAGAAUGAUGACUGAAGACACAUAUUUGUGCCUUUGAUUUGCUAUAAAUCACUGGAUCAUCCGCAGUUUUAUUACCAGCCAACUUCUAAUAUUUUCAGAUCAGUGACAACUGAUCUGUAGGACGGUAGGAUGGACACUUAAAGGAUUGCAUUUUAUAAUCUGGAUGAACCUGCUGACUAUUCUUUAAGACCUCAAUUUUGAAGAAUUUGUUUUAGCAUUCUGGCAAUAUGGUAGUUUGGAUGGACUGUAUUCUGUUGCUUCUUCACAUGCUGUAUGUGUUUGAUAGAUGGCCUCUAGCCUAGUGGGGUCUUAAAUUUUGAGGGUUACCACCUGAAGACUGUCAUACAAUGAAAAGUCUUAUUUUACAGCAGUUAAUGAUAAUGGGUGUAGUGAAGAGUUUGUCAGCCAUUUCAAAGUAUGGAUCUCCUUUUUUUUUUUUUUGUUAAAAAGUUUACUCAGAUGUUAUGUAACAAGUACUUCUUAAAUGCCAUCAAAUAGUCCAUGUCCUUUCAGGUUGUUUGUGAGGGAUACUGACUUUCUCAUGACCUCAAAAACUCACCCUUCCCCUUACUGGAAACAGUGGAGCUGCGUAGGUUUUUAUCAAGUAAGGAUCUAGCCUAGUUUACGUAAUAAAUUGUGAAUUCACUGAUGAGGCUGACAAUCAGAUGGUUCAAAGUCAACCUUUUAAGUAAAAAAAAUAUGGCUUUGGAAGUAACUGUCUCUGCUUUAUCCUUCUUCCUCCCACUACCUCCAAAAAUACUGUUUGCUCUUCCAGAGCAGAUGAAGUUUCACAGAACAUUUAAAGCACGCAGAGCCAUCUUCUCCUGGAUGCUGCAGUGAUGAAGACACCUUUUUCAGACUUUCAGAUUCAGAGCAGCAUGGUCCCGUUCUCCAACUUCUUUUCCCCCAGUCUGUUUUCACAAGCUCACAUAGCCUUACUGCAAAGACUGUUUUCUGCCCCGAAGAGUUGCUAGAUUGUCUUUGAACAUGUAGUCGUGUUGGACACCUGGCAGCCCAGGGGUCAAGUUCUCCAUGAUGUUUGACCACACUCGCAGUGAAAAUUAAGUGAUUCUGCUGCUACUACAGCAAAGGAGAACUGUAGUGGGAAUUUUGUGUUUCUUUCAGUGGAACACCAGUGACUGCUGAAGUCCGCAGGCGUAAAAUUCUUGUCUUACAGCAGUGUUUUCUUCUUGCUACCAUCUGUGAGAAUUUGAAUCUUUAAACAUUUGUCUCAUGCAUUUGUGUGUGGGAGGUGUGAUACGUUCAGUUUAAUAAAUGAGUCUUAGCUUGUUUACAGUAUAUCAGAAUUGACGAUAAUUUGGACACUAUGCAUCUGUUCUGGAAAAUGUCUAGCAUACUUACUUUAUAAUGGUGUGUGAUUAUGUUUAUACUUGAUUUCUCCUGCACGAUGAACCACAAUUAAAAUUUAAUUUGUAAUCCUUUGGUAAUACCGUAUGAAGCUUCUGUCAAUUAAUUGGAAGUAAUUAAUUAAUUAGAUAGAAAUGAAAGUACCUCAGGAACAAUGAGCAUAGAGAGCAGGACAGUGAAAACAUCUGUGGGAGACAGACAAGCAUAGUUCAAGUCUCCGUGCCACAGAUUAGUAGUAUUAGUAAUUCAUUUGCAACAAAAAUAUGUAUUUCUAGCUGCUAAAUAAACCAGGUUGUUUUUUAUGGUUUUAGUUUUAUUGUUGGUUUUCUUUUCUGGGCUGCAGAGCUGCAGAUCGCAAGGCAAGGCAGAGCAGAUCAGUUUGAAAUUACUGCUCACUGACUCAAGAUGGAGGGGUUUAAGUUCUGUCUUAAAUACUUCAGUAAUGCAGGACUUCAUAUGAGUCACUGCACAUGGAUCAAAUCUAGCUAAUUUCAUCAGUACAGAAAUGAUAGACUUCUCGUGGUCUGAGUUCUUUUCUGAGGCCUCCUCUGGGACACCAGUUAAAUUCUGAUGUUCUUGCUGUCAGUGUUGAAGUAAAAAGGCUCUUGCAUCAGGUAUCAUCUAUACAUCUUCCUCAUUAGCAUCCUAAUUAAUUGGUGUGGUAAGCUUGGUCUGGCCCACGUUAGCCUCAGCUGACGCAGAAGCACUCUGGUUAGUCUUACGUUCUGUGGGGAAAAAAGGUGCCAAGGGAUGAGCAUCCUGAAUACAUAUAUACACACAAAUAUAUAUAGGGGUAUGCAAGGGAGUUACUUCAGCCUGCCUCUUGUCUAAUCUGAGCACCAGUGCCACUGCAGCAGGGUAUGAGAUGUGAGUUGAGCUGGAAGCUGGGAUCUCAGCAGCGUGCAACCUUCCUUUAUGUUGAAUCCAUAUCAGUUUCUGUGUUCCUCACCACUGGGAGGCACUUUAUGCCCAGGAUCCCAACCAUCACUGCUCUGUAAAAGCGGUCCAGAAAAUGCUUUGUGCUGUGGACAUAUAGAUGCUUUGUGGAACUGCAUAGAGAACAGCAUUUGACGAGGUUAAGAGAAAGCUGUGGUUUUGUUCUGUCUCAGGAUAAGCAGGGAAGCACGUUGCUUCCAGGCUACUUGGGUGGUUCUAAGAAUUUCCACAAUUUCUCUGAAGUUUUGGUCACUGAAAUGAGACAGUGGGGAAAAUUGUGACUUUCCGGAUGAAAGACAGUAGAGGAGAAGUGUGGGCUAAGCUGAGAUAACUGAAUUUUGACUCCUGGAUGCUCACUGUAUUUUAUAAAAGUGCAUUUUACUUAAUAGAUGCCGAGGUUAUGAUUGCCUAAUGGGUAUUGUAUACCAAAGGCCAUUACGGCUUGAGAGGGGUGGUCUUGUGCUGCUGAUCUUUUUGCAAAAAGUAGUUCUUUAGAAGGGAGAGUUGCUGGUGAAAUCUGCUGCUGUUAAAAUACGCAUAGUGGUGCCAUGGGAUGUUAAACUUCUUUGGAGCUGCCCACCAACAAACAGCGGUUAGUUGCUCUGUGAGGUUUUCCGAAGUGUCCUUGUGCUAAUUUAUAUUGCACCAGGAAGAACAUAAUAAAUUGGUUUUCAGUUUUCAGUGUUGUUACCAGAAUAUAGAUAAAUAAAACACUAUUGUUUACGAUAGGAACUAGCAGUAACAAAAAGCUGCGGUAAUAAUACUCCUUUUCCACCCCGAUUUAAACCUAUAUAUAUCUGAAGGUAACACACUAGCAUAUUUUUUGUUUCUUUUUGUGACCUGCAGAUAUUUAUGGUCUUGUAAAAGUGUGAGAAAGACUGUAAUGCAUUGUAGUGAUCAUUGGUUCUAACCUACAGCAAUAUUUAGUGGCUAGACAUCUAAGAAGGAAAGCACAGGAGCAAGAAGGAUGCUGUGGUACAUCUCCCAGUGUACCCUAAUAAUUUCCACCAAUGCAGUGCUUAUGAGUUUUGUGAGCUAGAUAUUUUAUCUGUAUGUCAAUAGCCAUUAAUGGGUAUUCUUCAAUGAAUUUGUAAUAUCAUUUUUUCAUAUUACCUAAACUUCUUGCUGCUACAGUACCCAGCAAUAACUCCAGGCCCACAUUAUGUACUCUGUAGAAAGAUAGUCGCUUCUUUAAAACUGUGAUGAUUACAUUGACUAUUGUGUAGGUUUUGUGUUAGGGAACGGAAUGAAUAAUACUCUGUUUUCAUGAUUCUUC